UCCGGCUUGACGCCGGCAGUCUCGCUAGAGUACUGGCUUUCGCCGAGCAACUAACGACAGGGGUUGCGCUCGUUAGAGGACUUAACCCGACACUUCACAGCACGAGCUGACGACAGCCAUGCAGCACCUGUGCACGUUCCACCCUUGCGGGUGUGGCUCGACUUUCAUCAAGUUAAUCCGUGCAUGUCAAACCCAGGUAAGGUUCUUCGCGUUGCCUCGAAUUAAGCAACAUGUUCCACCGCUUGUGCGGGCCCCCGUCAAUUCCUUUGAGUUUCAGUCUUGCGACCGUACUCCCCAGGUGCAGGACUUAACGCGUUAGCUCCGGGACGCUCCACGAACGUGAAGCACCCCAAGUCCUGAUCGUUUAGGGCUAGGACUAC
rnacentral:misc_RNA from 1 species